ACGGGUGAGUAACACGUGAGUAACCUGCCCCUGACUCUGGGAUAAGCGUUGGAAACGACGUCUAAUACUGGAUAUGAUCGCCGGCCGCAUGGUCUGGUGGUGGAAAGAUUUUUUGGUUGGGGAUGGACUCGCGGCCUAUCAGCUUGUUGGUGAGGUAAUGGCUCACCAAGGCGACGACGGGUAGCCGGCCUGAGAGGGUGACCGGCCACACUGGGACUGAGACACGGCCCAGACUCCUACGGGAGGCAGCAGUGGGGAAUAUUGCACAAUAGGGCGAAAGCCUGAUGCAGCAACGCCGCGUGAGGGAUGACGGCCUUCGGGUUGUAAACCUCUUUUAGUAGGGAAGUGAGCGAAAGUGACGGUACCUGCAGAAAAAGCACCGGCUAACUACGUG
rnacentral:rRNA from 1 species